AUACGGAGGGUGCAAGCGUUGUCCGGAUUUAUUGGGUUUAAAGGGUGCGUAGGCGGCCCGCUAAGUCAGUGGUGAAAGGUAUCAGCUUAACUGAUGAAGUGCCAUUGAAACUGAAGGGCUUGAGUACAGACGAGGUAGGCGGAAUUUAUGGUGUAGCGGUGAAAUGCAUAGAUACCAUAAAGAACACCGAUAGCGAAGGCAGCUUACUAGAGUGAGACUGACGCUGAGGCACGAAAGCGUGGGGAGCGAACAGGAUUAGAAACCCCAGUAGUCC
rnacentral:rRNA from 1 species